AACGCACAUUGCGCCCCCUGGCAUUCCGGGGGGCAUGCCUGUUCGAGCGUCUCCGGGACGAACCCUCGCGCGUGUGGAAGCGUGGUCUUGGCGGCGGUGGCGUGCCCGACUCGGAGGCGGCCACCUCGCUGGAAUACAUGGGCGGACGCCUGCCGCGUGGCCGAGCGUGAUAUGACGCAUUGGCGCUCGUGCGCGGCGAGGCUGCCGGCCCUUGCCCGUCCGUCGGGCGGGGGAGAGCAAGACAUUGGAACUCCUCGAAUCAGGUAGGGAUACCCGCUGAACUUAA
rnacentral:misc_RNA from 1 species